UUCUUUCCUUCUUUCCAGGGUCUCUCUGUGUUGCACAGGCCGCAGUGCAGUGGCGCAAUCUCAGUUCAUUGCAAGCUUCGCCUCACAGGUUCAAGUGAUUCUCGUGCCUCAGUCUCCUGAGUAGCUGGGAUUACAGGCAUGCACCACCACUUCUGGCUCGUUUUUGUAUUUUUAGUAGAGAUGGGGUUUCAACAUGUUGGCCAGACUGGUCUUGACUUUCUGGCCUCAAGUGACCCGCCCGCCUCAGACUCCCAAAGUGCUGGGAUUACAGGCAUGAGCUGCUGUGCCUGGCCUCUUGUCACCUUUUCUGAUUUUUCCUUGGUGGCUCUCUAAGGAGAAGGCCCCAAAUGGACUCAAGAGCAGAAAAGACAACCGAUUCUAGGGCCACAUAGAGACGCUUUAGACAAUUAAAACUCCUGGAUUGAAGAGUGUUGACACAGAGACACAGAUUCCAGCUGCACUGCCCCGCCUCAGCCUUGGGAAAUUCUCUGGAUGAUUAUAUAGGAUUGAGCUGCUCCUUCUGGGGGAUCACAGAAAAUCCAGAUGCAGGUGCAUUCAGGCCCAAACUUGUGAGAGAGGCAAAUGGUGGCCACCCUCCCCAGGCACUUUAGCCGCUUCUCACUGAGCUUGCCCCAACUUGGCCAUGCCGCUGUCUCACGAUCCCUCUCCACUCUGCCACUGUCAUCCCCCUUGCCCCUCAUUUUUCCACACCCAUCCUCUCUCAUGAAGCUUUUCACAUUCUUCCUUCAAAAGCUAUUGCUUGUUGUGUGAUGUGAGUGAAAAUAACUUCUACCACCACAACUCAGUCCUGCAGGCUUUUUGUCACUUACUGAAGCAAUUAAAGGCUAAUAGCACUUGUUUGUGUUUCCAGAGCAGAGCAUAGAAGUGCAUAUCUGUAGUCCCUAAAGUCAGCUCAUGCAGGACAGAGUAUUCUGGACACACAGCACGAAUCGGAAGAGCUGUGGAAUCAGUUUGGGAAAAUGUUGAAUUGCAUAUAAGAGGAGGAGAUUUAACAUCUGCGCAUGUUUUCUCUAGUACUAUCUGUCUAUCUGUCUAUCUAUCUAUCUAUCUAUCUAUCUAUCUAUCUAUCUAUCAUCUAUCUACCUACUUACUUAUCUACCUACCUACCUACCUACCUACUUAUCUACUUACCUAUAAAUGAAUAAUAGCUGCUGGUGGGUAACUGUGGCUCUUUGUUUUCAUGUAAAGAGCAUAUUUCAGAGAAGUGGACUUGUUUCACUUUUUUUUUUUUUUUUUUUUUUUUUUUUUAGGUCCUAAAUGUAGCUUCUAGGAGACUUAGUUUAGGGGAAGUAAAGAAAAUGAUGUUAACUGUGGAUCACUGGGCCCUCAGGGCAGAUGCCCACCCAUCUGGAUACCGGAGAUAGCACCUGCUCCUAGUUUCAUGGCCGAUUUUGCCUGCGUCUGCUUCACUGGUUGUACCCAUGGGUGGUGACUUCUUCAGAAAGUGAUCUCAUAACCUGUUUGCACAUUGUUUUGGAAGUAAACGUUGCCAGAGAUUAAAGUAUUAAAUGUAAUCUUACUUACCCUUCUAGAGGACAUUGCGGCAAAAAUAUUCUUCCAAAGGGAUGCCUGAUAUUACAGAUGGAUCCAGGUUUUGUAGGGCCUAUGUUUAUGCAAUUUUGUAGAACUUCUUUAAUAAAAAGUAUAUAAAAAGUUGAUUUCAUAGAAGUAAAAAGUAGUAUAGAAGAUACCUGAGGCUGGGAAGGGUAAGAGGAAGGAGGAUGAUGAGAGAUUUUUGAAAGGAUACAAAGUUACAGCUAGAUAGGAGAAACAAGUUCCAGUGUUUUAUUUCACUGUAGGAUGACUAUAAUUAGUAAUAAUAUGUAGUGUCAAAUGGCUAGGAGGAUAUCAAAUGUUCUCAACACAAAAAAUAAUAAACGUUUGAGAUCUGAUCACUAAACAUUACAUGUACAGCACUAUGUACCCCAUAAAUGUGUACAAUCAUUAUACAUCAAUUAAGAAAUAAAAGAAAAAAGAAAAAGUAUUGAUACGGUUUGAUUCUGUGUCCCCAUCUAAAUUUCAUCUUGAACUGUAGUCCCCUUGUGUCAGGGUAGGGACUUCCUGGGAGGUGACUGGAUCAUGGGGGCGGUUUCCCACACGCUGGUCUCAUGAUAGUGAGUGAGUUCUCAUGAGAUCUGGUGGUUUAAAAAUGUUUGGCAGUUGUCGCUUUGCUCUUUUUCUCUCCUGCCACCAUGUAAGACGGCCUCACUUCCCCUUUGCCUUUCACCAUGACUGUAAAUUUCCUGAUGCCUCCCCAGCCACGUGGAACUGUGCGGUGGCUAACGCCUGUAAUCCCAGCACUUUCGGAGGCCGAGCUGGGUGGAUCACGACGUCAGGAGUUCAAGACCAGCCUGGCCAAGAUGGUGAAACCCCAUCUCUACUGAAAAUACAAAAAUUAGCCAGGCGCACUGGCACACGCCUGUAAUCCCAGCUACUCGGGAGGCUGAGGCAGGGAAUUGCUUGAACCAGGGAGGUGGAGGUUACAGUGAGCCCAGAUCAUGCCACUGCACUCCAGCCUGGGCAACGGAGCGAGACUCUGUCUCACAAAAAAUAAAUAAAUAAAAGAAAAGAAAAAUAAAUAAAUAAAAAAUAAAAUCUGUAAGUUGGCAUUUUCCUUUCUUCUUUGUAUCAGUGCCUGUGCUUUGAUGAACAGGAGAGAAUAAACAUUCGGUUUACAUAAAAUUUGUUAAUGUAUUUGGCAUCAGGGCUUAUGAAGCUUCAGAAAACAAAGAGGUAAUAAUAUUAUACUUAAAAUGUUAGAUUUUAUGUCAGAUACUGUGGGCAUGUUUUUGAACGAGCGUGACUUGAUACGUAGUCAAGGGACACUUUCAUAUAAAAGAGGAUGGUAAUAAGUCACAGGCAAAUUAGUGGUGCACACAGAUUUCUACGAUUAAGCUUAAUCCAAAUGUUCCUACAAGAAAUGAACUGCAAACAAGCAGGAUUCAGGCUUCCAAAGAUGUAACCAUCCAAAAUGCCUACUACAAAAUAGUGUGUCUCAGUCUUCAUAGUUU
rnacentral:lncRNA from 1 species